AUUGAACGCUGGCGGCAUGCUUUACACAUGCAAGUCGAACGGUAACAGGCCGCAAGGUGCUGACGAGUGGCGAACGGGUGAGUAAUGCAUCGGAACGUGCCCAGUCGUGGGGGAUAACGCAGCGAAAGCUGCGCUAAUACCGCAUACGAUCUAUGGAUGAAAGCGGGGGACCGUAAGGCCUCGCGCGAUUGGAGCGGCCGAUGUCAGAUUAGGUAGUUGGUGGGGUAAAGGCUCACCAAGCCAACGAUCUGUAGCUGGUCUGAGAGGACGACCAGCCACACUGGGACUGAGACACGGCCCAGACUCCUACGGAGGCAGCAGUGGGGAAUUUUGGACAAUGGGCGCAAGCCUGAUCCAGCAAUGCCGCGUGCAGGAAG
rnacentral:rRNA from 1 species